AGUGAACGCUGGCGGUAGGCCUAACACAUGCAAGUCGAACGGCAGCACAGUAAGAGCUUGCUCUUACGGGUGGCGAGUGGCGGACGGGUGAGGAAUACAUCGGAAUCUACUUUUUCGUGGGGGAUAACGUAGGGAAACUUACGCUAAUACCUCAUACGACCUACGGGUGAAAGCAGUGGAUCUUCGGACCUUGCGCGAUUGAUUGAGCCGGUGUCGGAUUAGCUAGGUGGCGGGGUAAAGGCCCACCAAGGCGACGAUCCGUAGCUGGUCUGAGAGGAUGAUCAGCCACACUGGAACUGAGACACGGUCCAGACUCCUACGGGAGGCAGCAGUGGGGAAUAUUGGACAAUGGGCGCAAGCCUGAUGCAGCAAUACCGCGUGGGUGAAGAAGGCCUUCGGGUUGUAAAACCCUUUUGUUGGGAAAGAAAAGCAGCAGGUUAAUACCCCGAUGUUCUGACGGUACCCAAAGAAUAAGCACCGGCUAACUUCGUG
rnacentral:rRNA from 1 species